CAUAUACAAACUCGUCAAGGUGCAGAUUUGUUAGGAUACAAAUUCUGCUUAAAAGGGAAGUUCGGUUGAAAUCCGACGCGGUCCCGCCACUGUAAUUGAGGAGCGACUCUACAUAAACCACUGGUUAAUUUUUGUACUGGGAAGGGUAGAGAAGCGAUGAUUCAUGAGCCAGGAGACCUGCCUUUACGCGAUUGUUUCU
rnacentral:ncRNA from 2 species